rfam:Bacteroides reticulotermitis JCM 10512 DNA, contig: contig00016.
GGAGAGGUGGCAGAGUGGUCGAUUGCGGCGGUCUUGAAAACCGUUGAAGGUCAUACUUCCGGGGGUUCGAAUCCCUCCCUCUCCG